AAGAGGAAGCACCUAUGCAUCGCAGAUGCAUAUUAAAAUGGUGCUGACGAAAUGCCGCCGAGUGUAAGCGAGGGGGCGAUACCCAUA
rnacentral:sRNA from 1 species